UACGAAGGGUGCAAGCGUUACUCGGAAUUACUGGGCGUAAAGCGCACGUAGGCGGAUCUUUAAGUCAGGGGUGAAAUCCUGGAGCUCAACUCCAGAACUGCCUUUGAUACUGGGGAUCUCGAGUCCGGAAGAGGAGUGUGGAAUUCCUGGUGUAGCGGUGAAAUGCGCAGAUAUCGGGAGGAACACCAAUUGCGAAGGCAGCUCGCUGGGACGUUACUGACGCUGAGACGCGAAAGCGUGGGGAGCAAACAGG
rnacentral:rRNA from 1 species